rnacentral:tRNA from 1 species
GAGGGUAUAGCUCAGAGUAGAGUGUUCUUAGCAUGCAUGAGGUCCUGGGUUCAAUCCCCAGUACCUCCA